rnacentral:rRNA from 1 species
UNUGACUUGAGUGCAGAAGGGGAGAGUGGAAUUCCAUGUGUAGCGGUGAAAUGCGUAGAUAUAUGGAGGAACACCAGUGGCGAAAGCGGCUCUCUGNUCUGUCACUGACGCUGAGGCUCGAAAGCGUGGGUAGCGAACAGGAUUAGAUACCCUGGUAGUCCACGCCGUAAACGAUGAGUGCUAGGUGUUAGGCCCUUUCCGGGGCUUAGUGCCGGAGCUAACGCAAUAAGCACUCCGCCUGGGGAGUACGACCGCAAGGUUGAAACUCAAAGGAAUUGACGGGGGCCCGCACAAGCGGUGGAGCAUGUGGUUUAAUUCGAAGCAACGCGAAGAACCUUACCAGGUCUUGACAUCCCGAUGCUAUUCUUAGAGAUAGGAAGUUACUUCGGUACAUCGGAGACAGGUGGUGCAUGGUUGUCGUCAGCUCGUGUCGUGAGGUGUUGGGUUAAGUCCCGCAACGAGCGCAACCCUUAUUGUUAGUUGCCAUCAUUAAGUUGGGCACUCUAGCGAGACUGCCGGUAAUAAACCGGAGGAAGGUGGGGAUGACGUCAAAUCAUCAUGCCCCUUAUGACCUGGGCUACACACGUGCUACAAUGGUCGGUACAACGAGUUGCGAGCCGGUGACGGCAAGCUAAUCUCUGAAAGCCGAUCUCAGUUCGGAUUGGAGGCUGCAACUCGCCUCCAUGAAGUCGGAAUCGCUAGUAAUCGCGGAUCAGCACGCCGCGGUGAAUACGUUCCCGGGCCUUGUACACACCGCCCGUCACACCACGAGAGUUUGUAACACCCGAAGUCGGUGAGGUAACCUUUUAGGGGCC